UAUGGCCACAUCACAUUGAAACACAGGUUCCUGUACUAUCACCGAAGAUAAGCAAUGUUGAGAUUAGUUAGUACUUUGAUAAGUGACCGUUUGUGAAUACCAGGUGCUGUAAG